rnacentral:piRNA from 1 species
UNUAAGAAGUGUCCACAUCACUAUUUGUGC